CUUUAGUGCCAGCGCGCCGGGAUCGGGAAGCGGCGCCGAAGAAGGAAGAGGCGCCGCCGCAUUCCUUCUUACCAGGUGAGCGGCGCGAGGGUUUAUAUAGUAUCGAUGAAACGAGGUACUUUGAUUGAUGUCUCGGACAGGCUGAUUUUUUUCGGGUCUUCUUGGUUGCUGGGAAUGAGGACUUAUGCAAGAAGCACAAACACCUGGACUUUUCCUCCAGUGUGAUCAUGAUGUUGGGAUGAAAAGAAACACCACAAAGAGAAACAAACCUUGCUGGCAAAGGUGAGCGAGCUCUGUGAGUACUUUGCGUCGACACCAAGCCAUGGAAAGCUUGUGAUAUUUGGAUCGUUCCUCAACUUUCCUGGAUACCACUAGGCACUCUUUUCUGUAUUUGCGCAGACGUGCUUUGGAUUGACACUCGACAAUUCUUCCUACUGCAGACUUUUGACAAAGAAAUCGGCUCACAACAUUCCACCUCUCGA